rnacentral:rRNA from 1 species
AGCGAACGCUGGCGGUAGGCCUAACACAUGCAAGUCGAACGGCAGCACAGUAAGAGCUUGCUCUUACGGGUGGCGAGUGGCGGACGGGUGAGGAAUAUAUCGGAAUCUACUUUUUCGUGGGGGAUAACGUAGGGAAACUUACGCUAAUACCGCAUACGACCUACGGGUGAAAGCAGGGGAUCUUCGGACCUUGCGCGAUUGAAUGAGCCGAUGUCGGAUUAGCUAGUUGGCGGGGUAAAGGCCCACCAAGGCGACGAUCCGUAGCUGGUCGGGGAGGAUGGUUCGCCGCCCGUGAACGUGAACAGGGUCCAGACUCCUACGGGAGGCAGCAGUGGGGAAUAUUAGACAAUGGGCGCAAGCCUGAUCCAGCCAUACCGCGUGGGUGAAGAAGGCCUUCGGGUUGUAAAGCCCUUUUGUUGGGAAAGAAAAGCAGCAGGUUAAUACCCCGCUGUUCUGACGGUACCCAAAGAAUAAGCACCGGCUAACUUCGUG